CGCCGCGGCCACUCGGUGCCCGCGCCCCGUUCCCACGCGGGACGGCGGUUCGAGGUCAGUCAAGGAGACGGGGGAGCAAGAAGCGGGGCUUUAACGCCCCCGGCACCGGAGUCCCACGACAGAGUUCCGAGAUAUACUCUCUCCAUGUUUUCAAGAGACACAACUACUGGCAGUUUCUAGAAUCCUGUCCUUCACUGAUUCACAACCAGAGAAAAAAGGGGGCUUCUCUUCCAGACAGGGCUGGUUUGAAGAAGCCCAGUGAAGGUUGACCAGGCACACCCAAGGAGUGAAACGUGUCCACCAGAAGCAUGAUGAGAGGGAGCAGUUGUAGAGGUGAAUUGCCAGUGUCAGGGUGAGAGAUAGCCCUGUCCUUCCUGUUUGAGACUCAUGAUGCUCAUUAAACCUCUAGAUUUUAUCAGAAGGCCUUGGAUAAAUUAUCCCAUCAGACUAGGGACUGCUCUGGCUUUUGGAUUGAAGACAGACCACAGGGAGCAAGUCACUUAGCAGGGAGGCCAGUGUGAGCUGGCAGUGACUUGGAGCGGUGGCAGUGGUGCAGAUGGCUAGAAAUGGGAAGUACUGGAUAGAUUUUGCAGGUCGUGACAUGUACUACUUCUUGUCAGACUGGAGUCCUGGGCUCACCCUAUUUCUGCCACAGAAAUAUCCUCCCUGCUCUCCUCCUGUGCAAACCCAUUCUUCAAGACGUUGCUCAGACCUUCAUGCCCCAGAUUUCCCCAUGCACUACAGCCCUGUGAUGUGCUUGCCAAGCUCCCUUUGCAUUUAUUUUCUCAAGUACAUAAUUUGGCCCUCAACAUGGUUUCUGCACAUUCCUCUAAAUGUAACACAGACCCCGGAAGGCAGACCCCACGUGUUUAUUGGUUCACUAGAGAUUUUUAAAAGCACCUUAUAUGGUGAGAUACAAAGAGAAAUUUAAGUGAUGGUUGCUUCUUGUCCUUAGAGGAGGAGGCUAGUACUUCAUAGACAUCUGUCUGGCCCUCAGUGGACCCUUCACAAAGGUUUGUUAUAUUGAACUAACAUAUAGGAUGCCCCUUACUGCAACCAUCUGCUGUCUCUAAGUGUCAUGAGAGGUGGUAAUAUAGGGAAGGCAUCAUGACAGAAGAGGUGUUUGAACUGGGCCUUAAGGACAAGGAGUUAUUUUAAAAACAGAAUUGGCAGAAGAAGGAGCGUUCCUGCAGCCCACUGUCAGGCACACACUGCCAGGCACCGCACAUUAGGUUCAGGGGGAAGCACUGGAAUCCCUGGGCGGCACCAACUAGCCUUAGUGGGAGUGUGCAGCUGCUCAGCUUCCCUGCCCUCUCUCCUUUCCUGCCCACUCCAAUCGCGGUUCAAGUCAUAGCUGUGUGACCUGGAGCCAAUUAGUUGGGGUGGGGGCUCAUGUUCCUUCCAGUAAAAUGGAUAAAAUAAUCCUGCCUUCCAAGGUUUUUGUGAGGUUUGAAGAACAUAGAACAUAUUUAAGUUGCUAAAUGCAGAGCAUGGCGAUCUAUUUCCUUCUGCCCUAGUAGGGGUGACACCCCACUGCGCGUCCCUCUCCCUGUGACCCCGCAGGUCUCCCAGCACACAGCACCGACCUUCCGGAGGGGCUGGGGCCAGACUGCAAGGCCCCUAAAGAGAAAGUGGGGCUGAAAGAGCUUCAGAAAAAAAAGUAAACAGCAUUGACAGUGGACUGACCGGGCUAAGGG